AACGUAGGUGGCAAGCGUUAUCCGGAUUUACUGGGCGUAAAGCAUGUGCAGACGGGUUGGUAAGUGGUGUAUGAAAGCGUCCGGCUUAACCGGGCAAGCGUAGGCCAGACUGCCAGUCUUGAGAGUGGGGAGAGGGAUGUGGAAUUUCGGGUGUAGCGGUGAAAUGCGCAGAUAUCCGAAGGAACACUGGUGGCGAAGGCGGCUCCUGGACCGACACUGACGCUGAGGCGGCGAAAGCUGAGGGGAG
rnacentral:rRNA from 1 species